rnacentral:rRNA from 1 species
AAUUUGGGACAAUGGGGGAAACCCUGAUCUAGCCAUCCCGCUUUUAUUAUGAAGGCCUUCGGGUUGUAAAUUACUUCUGGCAGGGAAGAAAAGGUAGCCCCUAAUGCGGGAUACUGCUGACGGUAUCUGCAUAUUAAGCACCGGCUAACUACGUGCCAGCCGCCGCGGAAAUAUGUAGGGUGCAAGCUUUAAACGGAAUUACUGGGCGUAAAGCGGGUGUAGGCGGUUCGGAAAGAAAGAUGUGAAAUCCCAGGGCUCAACCUUGGAACUGCAUUUUUAACUGCCGAGCUAGAGUAUGUCAGAGGGGGGUAGAAUUCCACGUGUAGCAGUGAAAUGCGUAGAUAUGUGGAGGAAUACCGAUGGCGAAGGCAGCCCCCUGGGAUAAUACUGACGCUCAGACACGAAAGCGUGGGGAGCAAACAGG